UACAGAGGUCUCAAGCGUUGUUCGGAUUCAUUGGGCGUAAAGGGUGCGUAGGCGGCGCGGUAAGUCGGGUGUGAAAUCUCGGAGCUUAACUCCGAAACUGCAUUCGAUACUGCCGUGCUUGAGGACUGGAGAGGAGACUGGAAUUUACGGUGUAGCGGUGAAAUGCGUAGAUAUCAGGAGGAACACCAGUGGCGAAGGCGGUGCUCUGGGCCGGAACUGACGCUGAGGAGCGAAAGCGUGGGGAGCAAACAGG
rnacentral:rRNA from 1 species